rnacentral:sRNA from 1 species
UUUCCUUUUAGUCUUU